UGGUCAUAUACCAAGGCUUUAGGGAGGUGUUGUUCCUUACUUGCUGUGGACAUGACCAAAAAUCAAAGCCCAUCCCAGUGGUCCGCUUCAGUUUUUUACUGUUGUGGUCUACUGGGAACACUU
rnacentral:snoRNA from 1 species